UACGUAGGGGGCAAGCGUUGUUCGGAAUUACUGGGCGUAAAGGGCUCGUAGGCGGCCAACUAAGUCCGACGUGAAAUCCCAAGGCUUAACCUUGGAACUGCGUCGGAUACUGGAUGGCUUGAAUUCGGGAGAGGGAUGCAGAAUUCCAGGUGUAGCGGUGAAAUGCGUAGAUAUCUGGAGGAAUACCGGUGGCGAAGGCGGCAUCCUGGACCGACAUUGACGCUGAGGGACGAAAGCUAGGGGAGCGAAAGGG
rnacentral:rRNA from 1 species